UGAGAGUUAUAACUUCCAUGGAUGCAUGCGAUGUUAAAACUCAUUGAUAUAGUUUUAGUUAAUCUUCUAUGGAUGCGAUGUUAAAACUUCCAUUGAGUUUAAGUAAUCUUCCGUGGAAGUUCUUAUACAAGGAAGGAAGGAAGACAUACAAUGGUAAUUAGGAUGUUUGAAGCAAGAUGUGCAAAAACGUAGCAGCUAUAUUUCAAACCCCUAUUGCCUGCAAUCUUUCCCAUGGCAUUUCGUCAUACAGGCAGAGAUUGUAAAUUGAAGGCCUGUCAAUGAUAUAUUAACUGCUUGCAAUUUCAAGAAUUACUUUCCUUGGAGUCUUGCAAGGUCACUGCAUCUGAAAUCAAGAAGCUUCAGUCUGCUGACCUUCCCAAUUUGAUAAGCUGAGGAUUCUGUUAUCAUUCUGAUGAACAAUCUCAUGUAGAUAUAUAUGUAUAUAGCUUCUGUUCUGGAUAACUAUGGAAGGCCAUCAAUAGAGGAGCCACAUCUUAUACAACGUGAUGCAUGCAAGAAUCUAAUUAUGCAUUUCCCUGUCUAUGAAUAAUUGUACAUAACCAAGUUGGGUAUCUAUAUAGGGUUUAGUUUCUUUAAAGUGAGGGGUGUACUUCAACCAAACUCAUUUAUCAAAUAACAUAUUAAAAGGGAUUCACAUGGUAGUUUCCUUGACCACAAGGACUUGUGUUUUACAUGAAGGGU